rnacentral:rRNA from 1 species
UACGAAGGGGGCUAGCGUUGCUCGGAAUUACUGGGCGUAAAGCGCACGUAGGCGGAUUGUUAAGUCGGGGGUGAAAUCCUGGAGCUCAACUCCAGAACUGCCUUCGAUACUGGCGAUCUAGAGUCCGGGAGAGGUGAGUGGAACUGCGAGUGUAGAGGUGAAAUUCGUAGAUAUUCGCAAGAACACCAGUGGCGAAGGCGGCUCACUGGCCCGGUACUGACGCUGAGGUGCGAAAGCGUGGGGAGCAAACAGGG